CUUUGAUGUAAAUAGAUCGCCUAGGAACAGAAUCUUCUCCAAAUUCUUGAGUAGACCACUAAAGUGGAAUCUGGUUUAGCAGCUAAGAUAAAAAUGACAUUUGAGACCUUUAGAACUCAGGAUCUGGUGUUUCGAUACCAAGCCAUAGUUUGAAUCUUAGAAGGGUCUGAAGAGGUACCUGGUUGUGUUCCAGUAUGUUUACUACCAGAGGAAAUUGUCAACAAUCUCUUCUUGAUUUUUAGGAAUCAAAAACCAUCUUCUCCUUAUUCACAAUCUAAGGAUCACAAUUAUUUUUGCUUUGCCAGCUAUGCUUUAUUGUUGAAUAUGAGAAACGAGGAUGACUGAAGGAAAGUUGUAGACCUUCUUUCAGGAAGUAAAAGCUUCUGAUCGUCUUCUUGUUUAAUUCCAUAAGCUGUUUAAGGAAGAAUUUAUUCUAUUCCCUCAAGUAAGAAUGUUCUUAUGUAAAAGUCUCAUACAUGAUUUGGACCAGUGGACUGCUGGAA